ACGUUGGGUUGUUUUUUCAACCCAACUGCUGGGUUGAGCCAGUUGGGUUAUUUUGUUGGGUUGUUUUAUCAGUGUUGGGUAGUUUUUGUGUAACCCAACUUGUUGGGUUAUAUGUUGGGUAAUUUUGAAGCAGAGCCAACUUAAUAGAUAGCUGUUUCUCAAUAUUACUUUCUCUAGUCCACAAAAUGUAUUUUAAACAUAAGUUCAGGCGAGAAUAUAUAUGUAUAAUGUUCAAAUUUGCAGUCGGUUUGUAAAGUGAACGCCAAUUUUAAAGUUUAAUUUCAAAAAGUCGGAAUGUUACCGGCGCGACCACCGGGUGUCAGUGUUGUUCUUCCCCAGAGAGAACUUCUCCCUUCCCCCACACAGACACGUCAGACUCCUCCUGCCACAGCACGCUACCUGACGCGGGAAUUUAACAUCACCUCAGGAAUCAUACACGGUUUUUCAUCGACUUAUCUUUGAUUUAUUUGAAGGAAAAGGUUUGUGUCAUUGUUUUUAAUCAUUUAAACUAUUUCUGAAUGCAAAAGUAUGCAAAAUGAUGGUUUACAAGACAUAACUCUUAUUGAAAGUUUUAUUAGCGUCCGUUGGCUAGUCUGUAAUGCUCAGUAAAUCUAUAUGCUUGCUUUUAAAUGAUUUAAAUAUUUCGUUUGAUCAAACGUUUUAUGAAAUAUGUCUAAAAUGGCUUGUUUUAAUAAUUUUAGAAACGUUAGAAUGUAGCUAACGUAUUCUAAUGGUUUAGAAAUUCAGUUUAAAACAGAUAACGUUAAUAUGAGGAAGAAACGUGUACGUUUUAAAUAAAUAAUCGUUUGUUGUAAAAGUUGAAAUCAAACUGAUGCUUUUAAUAUCAUGUUUAGAUCAUGAAACUUUAGCCUUGAGUUCACAGACAGGGUGUGAACUCUCAUUUGCUCUACCCUGAUGGAUAAAAGAUGGAUAUUUUUUUCCUGGAGAAGCUAAAACAAUGUCACUUUGAGGUUCUGAAACCAGCUUUUACAAAGUUAUUUACAGACAGAAUCCUGCAACUUCCCAGCCAAGACCCAGGAGCAUCAACAAAUCACCUACAGAACCCCAUGAUGAUAUUCCAACUCCUGUCUACAAAAGUGGGAAGAAAAUCUUAAGUUUAUGAAUUGGGACCAACAUGGUUGCAUUCUUCUGAGAGGCUGAGGUGACAAAACCAUUCCCAUUUGUCCUUGGAUUGGAAGAUGACGAUCUCUGCCAUCAAGCCUUCGUUGUUUUUGACAGACAGUCACUCCAGCAAUACACCCUCCUUGGUGAUGUUGACAUGUUUUAAACUUUUUUUAAUCUUUUGGACAUUAAUUUUACCAAGCAGUGCACAUCAGUGUGGGUGUUUUUGAAGACUGUUGUUUACAAACUCCCAAGAACGGAAUCCCUUUCUAUAAGAAGUCUGUGUAGUUAUUUGUCAUGCUAAGGUGAUUUUUCAUGUUGAUCAUAUAUUGACUAUUUGUGCAACUUAGUGUUGAUCUUAUGUGUUACAUUAACCAUUUCUUAUUACACGGUUCUCUAAAAUGCUAGUUUCUGAUUGGCCAGUCGUGACAUUCUACUACUGCUCAAAACUAAAAACUCCAAUGCUGCAAAUCAUUUUGACAGGUACAGUUUUAUAUUACACAAAAAUUAAAUAUCAAUUUCUAUUAAUAACAUAUCCGACAUUACAUUUACAUUUACAAAUGAUUAAACCAAUGUGUUUGUGACAUUUGUCCUGAAGAAACUGUUGGGGCUUUUUUCUGUGAUGACAUGCUGCCAAUACAUUAUCCCUUACUUGUACAACUUUUUACUUGAUCUAAUUGUAAUGUUAACCGGGUAUCUGUCAUUUUAGAUUGUGAGAUAUAAUACUAAUAUUUUUUUUUUAUUAGAAAGUUGAUUGUUUG